CUGGCGGCGUGCCUAAUACAUGCAAGUCGAACGCACUCUCGUUUAAGAUUGAAGAAGCUUGCUUCUGAUUGAUAACAUUGAGUGAGUGGCGGACGGGUGAGUAACACGUGGGUAACCUGCCCUAAAGUGGGGGAUAACAUUUGGAAACAGAUGCUAAUACCGCAUAAAACCUAGCACCGCAUGGUGCAAGGUUGAAAGAUGGUUUCGGCUAUCACUUUAGGAUGGACCCGCGGUGCAUUAGUUAGUUGGUGAGGUAAAGGCUCACCAAGACCGUGAUGCAUAGCCGACCUGAGAGGGUAAUCGGCCACACUGGGACUGAGACACGGCCCAGACUCCUACGGGAGGCAGCAGUAGGGAAUCUUCCACAAUGGACGAAAGUCUGAUGGAGCAACGCCGCGUGAGUGAAGAAGGUUUUCGGAUCGUAAAACUCUGUUGUUGGAGAAGAACGUAUUUGAUAGUAACUGAUCAGGUAGUGACGGUAUCCAACCAGAAAGCCACGGCUAACUACGUG
rnacentral:rRNA from 1 species